ensembl:rRNA 5S_rRNA 5S ribosomal RNA
ACCGGCAGCUAGCUCUCUGCUACUCUGACAUGGUUGCCCAUUGAAGCUAAGCAGGGCUGCUCCUGGUCAGUACCUGGAUGGGAGACUAUAUGGGAAUGCUAGUUUGCUGCCGGAA